CUACACGGGUAUCUAAUCCUGUUUGAUCCCCACGCUUUCGUGCUUGAGCGUCAGUUAUGGCUUAGUAAGCUGCCUACGCAAUCGGAGUUCCUCGUUAUAUCUAAGCAUGUCACCGCUACACAACGAAUUCCGCCUACUUCAUCCAUACUCAAGAAACCCAGUUUCAACGGCAGUUUCGACGUUAAGCGUCGAGAUUUCACCGCUGACUUAAGUUCCCGCCUGCGCACCCUUUAAACCCAAUAAAUCCGGAUAACGCUCGCAUCCUCCGUAUUACCGCGGCUGCUGGCAC
rnacentral:rRNA from 1 species